rnacentral:rRNA from 2 species
UUUAAUUAAUUUUUGUUAAAUUAAAUUAAGUAUUAAAUGUUAAAUCAUUAAAUUGAAAAAAUUUGGCGGUAUUUUAUAUAAUUAGAGGAAUUUGUUGUGUAAUUGAUAGUACACGAUAAGAAAAACUUUAUAAUAAUUUUAUGUAUUGCUGUUUGUAAAGAUUUAUUAAAUAAAUUUUUAGAUAUUAAUUUAAAUUUUAAUUCAAGUCAAAGUGUAGAUUUUUAAAGAAUUAAAUGAAUUACAAUUAUAUAAAUAUUGAAUUAUUGGAUUUAAUUUUAUUAUGAAAUUGGAUUUAAAAGUAAAAUUUAAUUAAUUAAUUAAUUUGAAUUUUUUUUAAAAUAUGU